rnacentral:lncRNA from 1 species
GCGUGAGCCACCGCACCCAGCCAGAGGGACUUUCAUUAUCUUAUUUUAAGACUUACAAUAGGCUGGCUCUGAGUGCGGUGGUGUUUACAACUAAUUGAUCACAACCAGUUACAGAUUUUUUUGUUUGUUUCUUCUCCACUUCCACUGCUUCACUUGACUAGCUUUAAAAAAAAAGGAAGACAAGAAAUCUAUAGUAUUCAACUUAGUAUGGUAUUGGCAGAAAGGUUGACAUACAGAUCAAUGGCACAGAAUAGAGAAUCCAGAAUAGACCUUGCAUGCAUGGUCAACUUUUUUUCUUUUUAAAGCAUGGGGGUCGAUUCUGUUUUAUUGGGAAAAGAAAGUCUUUUCAAAAAAUGACACUUGAAUAAGUAGAUAUCCACAUUAAAAACAUAUACCUCAAUAUUAAUAUUAAAUUGUACAGAAAAUUACUUUGAUAUCUGUCAUGGACCUAAACAGAAAAACUAAAACUAUAAAAGUUCUAGAAGAAAAUAAAGAAAACAUUUAUUUUGGGACUGGAAAAGAUUACUAGAAAGGACACAGAAAAGUAUUCACCAUAAAAAAUGAUAAAUUAGAUGUUAUCAAAGUUAUAACUGCCUGUUUUCUUAAAGACAUUAAGAAAAUGAAAAGCCAAACCACAGAAUCGAUGAGAAUAUUCACAAUAUAUAUACCUGACAAAGGAUGUAUAGUCGAAAUAUAUAAAGUAUACCUCCAAUUCAAUAAUAACACAACAAACAACUCAAUAAAAAUGGGCAAAAGCUUGAAUAGAUGCUUCACAAAGAGGAUAUGUGAAUAGUCAGUAAGAAUACACAAAAAUGCUCAACAUUGUUAUUCAUCAAAUCUCAUGUAACAAUUGGAUUCAGUUGGAAAUCAAAUAUGCCAAUCAUUAUACUAACAUAGAAACUAUUAAUAUACAGUCUAAGCCAAAUCCAAAUUAAAACCGCAAUGAGAUACUACUUUAUAUCUACUAGACUGGGUAAAAUUUAAAAGGCUGACAAUACUAUUUGUUGACAAGGAUAUAGAGUAACUGGAACUUUUAUAAUUUACUUAAAGAAGAUAAAUUCACAUCUGCUUUGGAAAACAGUGUGGCAGUUUCUUGUAAAUUAAAAAUUCAGUUAAUAUAUGACCUAACAAUCCCACUCUUAGGUAUUUAUCCCAAAGAAAUCACAACCAAUAUCCACAUGUUUGUGCAGGCUUUCACUUCACUGUUUAUAGCUGCUUUAUUACUAAUGGCCAAUAAUUGGAAACUAUCCAAAGGUACAUUGUGGAUGAAUGAACAAACUGUUCUAUUCAUACAGUGGAAUACAAUUCAUAGAUAAAAAGAGAACAAACCAUUAAUAUGUACACUAAUAUAGAUGAAUUUCAAAAAACAUGCUAUGUGAGGAGGUAAUGGGCUCACACAUCUUACUUAAACCCACGGAUGGCCAUCAGUGGCCCAGAGCCCUGAACUUGUCCUAUGUCUGACAUGAGUGAGAGUCCCCCAAAAUCAGUGUAUCAGUGCCAUUUUGGCAAACUAAUCUCAUGUGAUUAUGUGAAAGAAAAACUGUGCUGGUCGGUGAGAGUGAUUUGCCUACCAGGCCACUCUCCUGGAAUUUGACCUGACUGUGGGACUCAAAGACACUCUCCUAGGAGCACAUUUUAGUGUUCCUCAGGGCAUCUGGUGACCCCACAUGUAGGUUAGAUGGAGAGCAUCCAAAAUGGGAGAAGUGGGGCCAGAGUCCAUGCAACUCCUGGUCUGAGCUCAGCGUUCUUUACCUAGAUGACAUUGCUGGCCCCAGCCAGUCCCACACACAAGAGGUGGAUUGAGAAAAUAUUGGGAAACACUCUAAAGUGGUGGCCUCCCUGGGGUGUGGAACCCACACUUCUUGCUUGAGUCUAAGGGCAGUACUGGGAGGGGAAUGUUUGAUUGGUUUAGUGGGCUACUCUUGAUUGACCAGGGUUGACAGUAGAAGAUACUGCCAUCAAACUAGCAUCAAUGUCCUCAACUUAGUAUCACUGCCAAAGGAUUCUGAGCUAGCAGAGGCCAGGUGGCAGCACAUAACUAACAGAGGAAAGGUGUACAUAAUUACCAAAAUGGGGAGGAUUCAGGCAAGUAUACAAAUGGGAGCCCUUGGCACAUACAUAGCUAUCCUAUUUCUCUUUCCACCUGGGGGCCUCACUCACACAUAUGUAUAUAUUCCAAUAUGCACAUUUCAUACUGAACAACCACACAACCCACUUCCUCUG